GCAAGUCGAACGCAGUAGCAAUACUGAGUGGCAAACGGGUGAGUAUAAUGUGGGAAUCUGCCUUUUGGUUCGGAAUAACACGAGGAAACUUGUGCUAAUACCGGAUAAGCCUUUACAGGGAAAGUUUUAACGCCGAAAGAUGAGCCUGCACUUGAUUAGCUAGUUGGUAUGGUAAUUGCUUACCAAGGCAACGAUCAAUAGCUGUUCUUAGAGGAAGACCAGCCACAUUGGGACUGAGACACGGCCCAAACUCCUACGGGAGGCAGCAGUGGGGAAUCUUGCACAAUGGGGGAAACCCUGAUGCAGCGAUGCCGCGUGAGUGAAGAAGGCCUUUGGGUUGUAAAACUCUUUCGUCGGGGAAGAAAAUGACUGUACCCGAAUAAGAAGGUCCGGCUAACUUCGUGCCAGCAGCCGCGGUAAUACGAAGGGACCUAGCGUAGUUCGGAAUUACUGGGCUUAAAGAGCUCGUAGGUGGUUAAAAAAGUUGAUGGUGAAAUCCCAAGGCUCAACCUUGGAACUGCCAUCAAAACUUUUUAGCUAGAGUAUGAUAGAGGAAAGUGGAAUUUCUAGUGUAGAGGUGAAAUUCGUAGAUAUUAGAAAGAACACCAAAUGCGAAAGGCAACUUUUCUGGAUCAUUACUGACACUGAGG
rnacentral:rRNA from 1 species